ACAGCCGAACGGUUGCGUGGGGAAACUCACGAGGAAAGUCCGAGCACCACAGAGCAAGAGUGCAGGAUAACGUCCUGUGAAGGCGACUUUAAGGAAAGUGCAACAGAAAUAUACCGCAGCGCACGGCGCUGUAAGGGUGGAAAUGCGGGGUAAGAGCCCACAGACGGGUUGGUGACAAUUCGUUCAUGUAAACCCCACUCGGUGCAAGAAAUGAGGUAAAAUGCCUGCUCGGCAUCUCGAUAUGUUCGCUGGAGGCUGUCGGUAACGACAGCAGUAGAUAGAUAACCGUUCAAGACAGAACUCGGCUUACAGACUGA
rnacentral:RNase_P_RNA from 1 species